rnacentral:rRNA from 1 species
UGAGCAUGUGUUAAUCGACGCAACGCGAAGACCUUACCUGGGCUUGACAUCCCGAUCGCACCUUAUGGAAACAUAGGGGUCAGUUCGGCUGGAUCGGUGACAGGUGCUGCAUGGCUGUGUCAGCUCGUGUCGUGAGAUGUUGGGUUAAGUCCCGCAACGAGCGCAACCCUUGUCCUUAGUUGCCAGCAUUCAGUUGGGCACUCUAAGGAGACUGCCGGUGUCAAACCGGAGGAAGUGGGGAUGACGUCAAGUCCUCAUGGCCCUUAUGUCCAGGGCUACACACGUGCUACAAUGGCCGGUACAAAGGGGCGCAAGACCGCGAGGUGGAGCAAAUCCCAAAAAACCGGUCUCAGUUCGGAUUGGAGUCUGCAACUCGACUCCAUGAAGUUGGAAUCGCUAGUAAUCGCGUAUCAGCAUGACCGCGGUCCGAAUACGUUCCGGCCUU